CAAAAGAAGCGAUUUGAUUAUACUUUGCCUGGGCCUCCCUGAACAGGAUCACAUACCACAGUGGAACCUCUGACAGUUUCUAUCUCUGCACGUGACUUGUCAGGGGAACUUUUCUCUGAUGCUCACACGAUGCGGGAACUUGUCACAUCUUCAAUCUCUGGGAACGUCCUCACCUGAAAUUGAAAGGUAGAACAAAGGCAGUGAAGGGUGCAAGGAUAUUAGAACUCUGUUCUGUGAGCUUUCAUGAACGCUGUGGAAGUAUCCAGGCAAGAUGGCCUCAAAUUAAGAUUUUAAUGACUCUUUGGUUUAGAAAGCACACUCUUGUGGUUAAUGCUAUCUUAUCAGGUGUCAUUUUUUAAUUCACAGGUGAAAGUUAAAAAAAAUUCAUACUUGCACAAACACUUGCCUCUGUGUGUUUGCAUGUAUGUGUGUGUUAAGGAAGAAAUGCAUAGUGCCUACAGGAAGUAAGGGCAAAAUAAUUUCAAGGACUGAGAGUUUCUGGAAUUACCUUAUGGUAAAGGCAAUUAUGUGCUGCAUUUUAACAAGGUUAAAAGCAUCCACACCCAAAUACUGACUCAAGGAGAAUAUGGGCCCCACAAGACCUUGUGAGUUUCAAAUGUACAUUUAAAUGUUAU